rnacentral:rRNA from 1 species
UCUAAAACAGAAAGGAGAACCUAAACUAAAUUAGUAAAAGAUAAAUACUUAAAAUUUAAAAAAUUUGGCGGCAAUUUAAUCUUUUCAGAGGAACCUGUUUUAGAAUCGAUAAACCACGAAAAAUCUUACUUGGCCUUGUUUGUUGACAGUUUGUAUACCAUCAUUAUCAGAUAAUUCUUAAAGGAAAAAUUAUUAAAUAUAGUUAUUUAAAAAAAUUAGAUCAUGGUGCAGUUUAUGGCCAAGGUAAAAUGGGUUACAAUAAAUUAUUUUAUUGCGAAUUAACAAAAUAAUUUUGUUAUGAAGAAGGAUUUGAUUGUAUUAGUAGAUUUAAUAAGCUAUUAAGAUAUAAGUUCUAAAUUGUGUACAUAUCCGCCCGUCGCUUUCAUUUAUAAGUGAAGUAAGUCGUAACAUA